rnacentral:rRNA from 1 species
GAUCCUGGCUCAGGAUGAACGCUGGCGGCGUGCUUAACACAUGCAAGUCGAACGGGGAACCUUUUAUUGAAGCUUCGGCAGAUUUAGAUUGUUUCUAGUGGCGGACGGGUGAGUAACGCGUGGGUAACCUGCCUUAUACAGGGGGAUAACAGUCAGAAAUGACUGCUAAUACCGCAUAAGCGCACAGGACCGCAUGGUCCGGUGUGAAAAACUCCGGUGGUAUAAGAUGGACCCGCGUUGGAUUAGCUGG